rnacentral:rRNA from 1 species
UACGUAGGGUGCGAGCGUUAAUCGGAAUUACUGGGCGUAAAGCGUGCGCAGGCGGUCCGCUAAGACAGAUGUGAAAUCCCCGGGCUUAACCUGGGAACUGCAUUUGUGACUGGCGGGCUAGAGUAUGGCAGAGGGGGGUAGAAUUCCACGUGUAGCAGUGAAAUGCGUAGAGAUGUGGAGGAAUACCGAUGGCGAAGGCAGCCCCCUGGGCCAAUACUGACGCUCAUGCACGAAAGCGUGGGUAGCGAACAGG